rnacentral:rRNA from 1 species
GUGAGGAAUUUUCCGCAAUGGGCGAAAGCCUGACGGAGCAAUGCCGCGUGAAGGAUGAAGGCCUAUGGGUUGUAAACUUCUUUUCUCAGAAAAGAAUUAUGACGGUAUCUGAGGAAUAAGCAUCGGCUAACUCUGUGCCAGCAGCCGCGGUAAGACAGAGGAUGCAAGCGUUAUCCGGAAUGAUUGGGCGUAAAGCGUCUGUAGGUUGUUUAAAAAGUAUUCUGUCAAAGAUUAGGGCUUAACCCUAGAUAGGCAGAAUAAACUUUUAAGCUAGAGUUUGGUAGAGGCAGAGGGAAUUCCCGGUGGAGCGCUGAAAUGCGUAGAUAUCGGGAGGAACACCAAAGGCGAAGGCACUCUGCUGGGCCAAUACUAACACUGAGAGACGAAAGCGAGGGGAGCAAAUGGGAUUAGAUACCCCGGUAGUCC